rnacentral:rRNA from 1 species
CGCCAAACAGCUAGCCUACACAAUCAACCACAACAAUAAACUUCUAAUACCCCCACAAACACUCACCAUAAUAAACAAACCAUUUUUUUUCCUAAGUAUUGGCGACAGAAAAG